rnacentral:lncRNA from 1 species
CAGGCAUGAGCCACCGCGUCCAGCCUGCAGUGGUUUUCUUACUACUUUUUACAAUCAAAUUGAUUAAGGCAUUGGUUGAAUAUGGUACAAUGCAUCCAUUUCAAGUUUGACGACAUGUCUACUACUCCAGAAGGUCCUCUUGUGCCCUUUGCAGUCAGUCCCCUCGACUCCCUGACCCCAGCAAUUAAUGAUGUAUUUUCUGCCACUAUACAGGUUAGUUUCACCUGUUCCAGAAAUUCACCUUGAUGGCACCACAUAGAAUGCACUCUUUUCAUCACUCAGCAUGAGGUUUUUGAGAUUGGCCCAUGCUAUCUCAUGUUUCCAUAAUUUGUCCCAUCUUAUUGAGGGUAGUACUCCGUUGGAUGAAUAUAUCACAAUAGGUCCAUUCACCUCUUGAUGCAUAUGAACCUUUUCCAGUUUGGGGACUAUUGUAAACAAAGCUGCUAAGAACAAGUUCUUUUUGUGAAUAUAUGUUUUGUAAAUUCCACUUGUCAUUCUUUAGUAUUAACUGAUUUUGUAAAAUGAUGUCACCUUCACAAGUGCAAAAUUCAUUCAAAUGUUACAGAGGCCUGAAGCAUAAGUCUACACAAUUUCCUUUGUUAUAUUUCAUAAUUAAGGGGAAAAAACUUUAUCUGGGAUGUUGUUUCCUAUCAGCAAAUCCUUAAUGUAAGCCAUACAGGAUGCUAGCUGUACUAUUAGACUAUCUUCUGUAAUCUGUGCAAUAACUCUAAGAAGUACUUCGUAUUAUUAUUUUCCUGUAACACUUUCCAACUUGAAGCCUAGCAAAUUGAAGGACCUGGCCCCAGGUCAAACAGAAGGCAAGCGGCAGCGCCAGGACUGGAAGAAGGCCUUCCCAAAGGCAGACAGAAGCUCACGUCUCUGUCAGAACCUCGGUAUUUCUGAUGCGCCUGGAAGCCAAUAUCCAAGCCGUUCUCAGCCACUGGAUUGGUGGGCUGCUUUGCUCAGAAACUCCUCGAUCAGGAAUCCCAAGCAUACGUUAGUGAUGACGGUCCCAAAACAAGGGACAUUUCUUAACCAUUCUAAAAACCCGUUUGCUCAUCAGUAACGCAAUAAGAGUUGCUUUCGGUCUUGGUUCAUAUAUUUUAUAUUUGAGCAAGGCAAUGUCCGCUGCUGGGGUUAGAAGUAAAUGGCUCCUCUUCAGCAAACUAGAUCAGUCCGUGGGACGUACGGCUUCCACUCGCAGUGUCCUGAACACUGGCUGGGCUUCCUGUGCGUUCUAGCCGGUUUUCUUUGGAGCCGCGGGUUUCUGCACGGCUCCGGGGUCGGGAUGGCAGAGGCUUCUCGGAACACGCGGAUCUAUGAGUGCAGUCCCCGGGGUAGCCACCAGGGAACGCCAUAGGCUUUCCCGCUGUGUUCCUCCUUGCCUUUUCCGUUUGGGCCAAGUAGUUUCUAUUGACCAUGACAUUACAGAUCAGAAGUGGGUGGGGUCAGAAAACACACCCUGGGAGAAGCUGGCAAAAUGCCCAGAACCGCCAUCACUAGGCCUGGGGUUUUCUUCUGUAGUGGAAUUCUCGUGCUUAUGUAGUACAGGGAGGAGCGCAGCGCAUUUCCGCCAAGACAGGUGAGACUGCAGUUCUGACCUGCGGGCCUCGAUGAAUUGCUUUAGGGCCCCUGGGCGCCGGCAGAGCCGAUCUCCUACACAAAGCAAGCGUGUUAUGUCUACGACCGAACGGGGACACUAAGAAAGAGCCCCAAAGGCCCUGCUUUCAUCCCAAAGAACAGCGCCUGUCUGCGUAGUUUCUACCUUGCUCUAUGAGUGCAUCAGUUUAAGAGAAGACAUGAGAUCAUGGGUUUAAGUGAGGCUUCAUCAUACUAAGACAACGUGAUCAGGUACAAGUCGGUGAUUAAAGUGCAGAACAACUUCCCCAAUACAGGAAUCCAGCUUCUGAAAAUAUCUGUGCUGGAAAACUUGCAAUGGAGGAAUGGAAGACUUGAGAAAGGGAGGGCUGGGAAACAAGAGCUGUGACUCACCCUGAAGACAUUCUUAUUCCCAACCUAUAUAACUCACAUACACUGGAGGAAAUAUCUUCAUGGAAUUAAAACCACAUGGAGUAACAUUUCACGUAAGCAGAAUUCAGGAAGGAUUUCAGUAAUUCCAUCCCAAACACACACAGGUAAAGGGAGUGAAGAUUUCUUCAGCAACAUGGUGGCAGAAAGAUCAUGAAAAGAUCUAGGCCAGGCAAGUAUGCAAACAAGACUGACUCUUCCUUUCCACUGGAGCUUUGGGUAAUUGCUCUCACAAUUCUAUGAUUUGCUGAAGCCACAGAAAAUCAGUUUUAAAACAGGAUUUCUACCCCUGGCUCACUACAUGACAAAUAAUUUUAUCCUGUAAUCUUCUGAUGUUAAACAAAGAUGGCCCUCAAUGUAAUUGUUACAGUGCCUCCUCCCCACUUCUGUUAGCUGUUGCUUCUCUGCCUCCCACGAGUUUAGUGUAAUCCCAGAACUUUGGGAGACCAAGGAGGGCAGAUCACUUGAGGUCAGGAGUCAGAGACCAGCCUGGCCAA